UACGUAGGGUGCGAGCGUUGUCCGGAAUUAUUGGGCGUAAAGAGCUCGUAGGCGGUUUGUCACGUCGGAUGUGAAACCCCGGGGCUUAACUCCGGGCCUGCAUUCGAUACGGGCUGACUAGAGUUCGGCAGGGGAGACUGGAAUUCCUGGUGUAGCGGUGAAAUGCGCAGAUAUCAGGAAGAACACCCGUGGCGAAGGCGGCUCUCUGGGACGGUACUGACGCUGAGACGCGAAAGCGUGGGGAGCGAACAGG
rnacentral:rRNA from 1 species